rnacentral:rRNA from 1 species
GACGAACGCUGGCGGCGUGCUUAACACAUGCAAGUCGAACGGAAAGGCCCUGCUUUUGUGGGUUGCUCGAGUGGCGAACGGGUGAGUAACACGUAAGUAACCUGCCCUUGACUUUGGGUUAACUUCAGGAAACUGGGGCUAAUACCGGAUAGGAGCUCCUGCUGCAUGGUGGGGGUUGGAAAGUUUCGGCGGUUGGGGAUGGACUCGCGGCUUAUCAGCUUGUUGGUGGGGUAGUGGCUUACCAAGGCUUUGACGGGUAGCCGGCCUGAGAGGGUGACCGGCCACAUUGGGACUGAGAUACGGCCCAGACUCCUACGGGAGGCAGCAGUGGGGAAUAUUGCACAAUGGGCGGAAGCCUGAUGCAGCAACGCCGCGUGCGGGAUGACGGCCUUCGGGUUGUAAACCGCUUUCGCCUGUGACGAAGCGUGAGUGACGGUAAUGGGUAAAGAAGCACCGGCUAACUACGUG